rnacentral:lncRNA from 1 species
CUAUUUAUAUAUUUAAGCCUGUGUCAUUUCUUAUUGCAAACCUCCAAUUUAGUAUUUGCUUUUUAAUUUUAACUUUCUUUUACUUUCCUUCUUAUUCUUCUUCAGGAGCAAAUACCCAUUGCUGCCUUCUUAUUUCAUCUAGAGUAGUUAGUCUUCUUUUAUUACAGGGAGAAGAUGAUCAUUUAGCAGUGAUGAUGUAGUUCAGAUUGCAGAAUUGAACCAGAGGUUUAAGUAUUUGAGCUCUGAUCCUCACCGUUUUCGUAAGUCAGUGAAUGUCAUAUCUAUUCAAGCUACUUUGGAAUAAUAGAUUACUGAAAUAUAAUCUUCUGUAUGAUGUAAUAGUGACUCCAAAUGUAAACAUCAAAAAAACAUAACCUUCUGGUUCCCUGUGGAAAUUUUAUCUCAAGUGACUUCAAAAUAUUGCACAUACUUUAUUGGAAAACAUCUAUCAAUAGUAAAAGCAUAACAUUGACAUUUGUCGAAGAUUGGAGCUUUAGAACUUUAAUUUACUAAUCUGUAAAUUGCUAUUAUUUUGAUGUUGUUAUGAUAAAAUUGCAGGGUUUUUGUUUUUUAUGUUUCCAUUUGUACUAUGAGUUUCUAAGCACAUUGAUUUUCUUCUAAAUCUAAUCUGUUUCACAUUUUUUUUUUUU